AGGACUCAAACCCGGGAUUCUGGGAUCACACCCUGAGUUUCUUUUUAAAAAAGUGCAUCUAGGGGAUCCCUAGGUGGCUCAGUGGUUUGGCGCCUGCCUUUGGCCCAGGGUGUGAUCCUGGAGUCCCGGAAUCGAGUCCCACAUUGGGCUUCCUGCAUGGAGCCUGCUUCUCCCUCUGCCUGUGUCUCUGCCUCUGUGUGUGUGUGUGAUGAAUAAAUAAAUAAAAUACUAAUAAAAUAUUUUAAAAAUAAAAAACUGGGAUCCCUGGGUGGCUCAGCGGUACAGCGCCUGCCUUUGGCCCAGGGCGUGAUCCUGGAGUCCCGGGAUCGAGUCCCACAUCAAGCUCCCUGCAUGGGCCUGCUUCUCCCUCUGCCUGUGUCUCAGCCUCUCUCUCAUGAAUAAAUAAAUAAAAUCUUAAAAUAAAUAAAUUAAAAAAUAAAAAAGUGCAUCUAUUUAAAUUUUUUAGAUCAUAUGUCCCCGUUGAUUAUGCUAUCAAUUUCAGCAGUGUUUAAUUCUACAUUUCUGAUUUUCAACAAGCAAUAAAAUCAGUUCUUUAAAUUUAUCUACCAUCUAGUUUUCAUAAAAUAGUAAACAUACAUAAUAUAUAAUCAUCUCUGUCACAUGAAUCUGUACUAUAAAUUCAUAUUUCACAUCUAGGUUUUCUUGAAGUAGGAAUAUGCUAACACUUUUCAACUUAAUUAUGCAAUAAAGGUUAUUGAGCAUCUGGUCUGUGCAAACUCAUCUGUCUCCAAGAGAUUCAAGCACUUCUGGAGCAGGAAGGGGAGGUAUAGUGGCCAGCUGUUGAAUUUUUGAAAAUCAUUACAUACCAGCUCUUCCUGCCUAGAUUCUAUCAGUAAAAAUCUUUUCUCAUUCACUAAUUCAUCCAUUCCACAUUUAUUGAUAGGGUGAUCAUAUAAUUGGCCAUCUAAAUUAGACACGUUCAUGAGUAAAGGAAGCACUUACAAUAAUUCCUGGACAACAGGCAUAAACCAGGACUCUCCCAGGCAAACCAGGUUGUACGGACAUCUGUCCUAUUUACUGAACAUUUGCUGUGCUACCAGCCUUUGUGCUGCUUGCUGAAGAUUCAGAGAUUAAAUAAUAUUUGAUACCUUCAAUCUACUGGUGAGGCAAACAUGUAAGCAAAUAUAAUACUGUUGUGAAUGCCAUAAUGGAGGCAUAAUGGAAGCAUUAAAUCUCCCUCAAGGGAUUCGGGGGGAGGCUUUCUAAAGAAGGUAAAGCUGAAUCUGGUUCUAAAUCAUGAGUUCACCAUGCAGACUUAAGGCAUUCUAGUGUGUAUAGAGAGGCACAAUGGCAUAAAAAAACACUAUCUCAUGGGGGUGGGGUAUGGAAGUGUGGUUCUUAACUGGAUGAUGGGAACAUGAACAAGCUUUUUAUUAUCAAUCUAUUUUUAUUAUCAAUCUUUUUAAAAUUAUUUUUAAAGGUUUUAUUUAUUCGUAAGAGACGGAGAGAGGGCAGAGACAUAGGCAGAGGGAGAAGCAGGCUCCCUAUGAGGAGCCGAUGUGGGACUCAUCCCAGGACCCUGGGACCACGCGCUGAGCUGAAGGCAGAUGCUCAGCCACUGAGCCAUCCAGGCGUCCCUAUUAUGAUUCUUUAAACCAUUAGUUUGCUAUGCAUUUUCUUCAAUGUAUGAGCUAGUUAUACACUUACAGACAUAUAUGCACCUGGCUGGGAAAAACUAACUGGAUCACAGAAGAGAAACGAAUGGCAAGUUAAACACGGGGGGAAAGAGCACAGUGUUUUGAAGAAACUGGAAGAACUGGCAGGAAUGGAAUAGGAUGGAUGGAGAUGAGACUGGGAGAGCAAGACAGGAGGGCCACUUCACGGAGGGUUUGACCAUGAGACUUUGGACCUUCACGGAGGGUUUGACCAUGAGACUUUGGACCUUUGUCUGCCAUGCAAUAGGGAAGUGACAACCCGAUUUGUAUUUCAAAAAGGUGACUUUGGUAGUGGGGCAGAAGGUGGAAUGGAGGUAAAAUGUGUGGCAGGAAGAUUUGGUGGGAAGUUAGAAAUGUGAAAAUCUGAACUAUAGCUGCAGUUAUGGGGAAGGGAGGAAAAGAAUUUACCAGAUUUUUGCUAUAGAAGUGAGAAUGUGGUUAUUGUUCAGGUGUUGGAUUCUGAUGGAGAGUUUUGGCUCCACCACUGAUUAGCUUUUUGAUCUCCAGUAAGUCACUAACCUCA
rnacentral:lncRNA from 1 species